rnacentral:rRNA from 1 species
GACGAACGCUGGCGGCGUGCCUAAUACAUGCAAGUAGAACGCUGAAGGAGGAGCUUGCUUCUCUGGAUGAGUUGCGAACGGGUGAGUAACGCGUAGGUAACCUGCCUGGUAGCGGGGGAUAACUAUUGGAAACGAUAGCUAAUACCGCAUAAGAGUAGAUGUCGCAUGACAUUUGCUUAAAAGGUGCAAUUGCAUCACUACCAGAUGGACCUGCGUUGUAUUAGCUAGUUGGUGAGGUAACGGCUCACCAAGGCAACGAUACAUAGCCGACCUGAGAGGGUGAUCGGCCACACUGGGACUGAGACACGGCCCAGACUCCUACGGGAGGCAGCAGUAGGGAAUCUUCGGCAAUGGACGGAAGUCUGGCCGAGCAACGCCGCGGGAGGGAAGAAGGUUUUCGGAUCGUAAAGCUCUGUUGUAAGAGAAGAACGAGUGUGAGAGUGGAAAGUUCACACUGUGACGGUAUCUUACCAGAAAGGGACGGCUAACUACGUG